UAGGGAAUAUUGGACAAUGGGGGCAACCCUGAUCCAGCCAUGCCGCGUGAGUGAAGAAGGCCCUCGGGUUGUAAAGCUCUUUUGUCCGGAAAGAAAAGCUUCGGGUUAAUACCCCGGGGUUCUGACGGUACCGGAAGAAUAAGCACCGGCUAACUUCGUGCCAGCAGCCGCGGUAAUACGAAGGGUGCAAGCGUUACUCGGAACUACUGGGCGUAAAGCGUGCGUAGGUGGUUGUUUAAGUCUGAUGUGAAAGCCCUGGGCUCAACCUGGGAAUGGCAUUGGAAACUGGGCAGCUAGAGUGCGGUAGAGGGUAGUGGAAUUCCCGGUGUAGCAGUGAAAUGCGUAGAGAUCGGGAGGAACAUCUGUGGCGAAGGCGACUGCCUGGACCAGCACUGACACUGAGGCACGAAAGCGUGGGGAGCAAACA
rnacentral:rRNA from 1 species